rnacentral:rRNA from 1 species
GACGAACGCUGGCGGCGUGCUUAACACAUGCAAGUCGAACGAAGAGCGAUGGAAGCUUGCUUCUAUCAAUCUUAGUGGCGAACGGGUGAGUAACGCGUAAUCAACCUGCCCUUCAGAGGGGGACAACAGUUGGAAACGACUGCUAAUACCGCAUACGAUCUGACCUCGGCAUCGAGGAUAGAUGAAAGGUGGCCUCUACAUGUAAGCUAUCACUGAAGGAGGGGAUUGCGUCUGAUUAGCUAGUUGGAGGGGUAACGGCCCACCAAGGCGAUGAUCAGUAGCCGGUCUGAGAGGAUGAACGGCCACAUUGGGACUGAGACACGGCCCAGACUCCUACGGGAGGCAGCAGUGGGGAAUCUUCCGCAAUGGACGAAAGUCUGACGGAGCAACGCCGCGUGAGUGAUGACGGCCUUCGGGUUGUAAAGCUCUGUUAAUCGGGACGAAAGGCCUUUUUGCGAAUAGUGAGAAGGACUGACGGUACCGGAAUAGAAAGCCACGGCUAACUACGUG